rnacentral:rRNA from 1 species
UAACACAUGCAAGUCGAACGGCAGCGCGGGAGCAAUCCUGGCGGCGAGUGGCGAACGGGUGAGUAAUAUAUCGGAACGUGCCCAUUAGUGGGGGAUAGCCCGGCGAAAGCCGGAUUAAUACCGCAUACGACCUGAGGGUGAAAGCGGGGGAUCGCAAGACCUCGCGCUAUUGGAGCGGCCGAUAUCAGAUUAGCUAGUUGGUGGGGUAAAGGCCUACCAAGGCAACGAUCUGUAGUUGGUCUGAGAGGACGACCAGCCACACUGGGACUGAGACACGGCCCAGACUCCUACGGGAGGCAGCAGUGGGGAAUUUUGGACAAUGGGCGCAAGCCUGAUCCAGCAAUGCCGCGUGCAGGAAGAAGGCCUUCGGGUUGUAAACUGCUUUUGUCAGGGAAGAAAU